GCGAGUAUAGCUCAGAAGUAGAGCGCUUCGUUGCCAACGAAGAGGUCGGGAUUGCGAAAUUCCCUACUCGCUCCA
rnacentral:tRNA from 1 species